rnacentral:rRNA from 1 species
CCUACGGGAGGCAGCAGUGAGGAAUAUUGGUCAAUGGUCGGGAGACUGAACCAGCCAAGCCGCGUGAGGGAUGAAGGUACAGAGUAUCGUAAACCUCUUUUGUCAGGGAACAAAGGCGGGGACGUGUCCCCUGAUGAGUGUACCUGAAGAAAAAGCAUCGGCAAACUCCGUGCCAGCAGCCGCGGUAAUACGGGGGAUGCGAGCGUUAUCCGGAUUUAUUGGGUUUAAAGGGUGCGCAGGCGGUCUGUUAAGUCAGCGGUAAAAGCCGGGGGCUCAACCCCGUCCCGCCGUUGAAACUGGCAGUCUCGAGUGGGAGAGAGGUAUGCGGAAUGCGUGGUGUAGCGGUGAAAUGCAUAGAUAUCGCGCAGAACUCCGAUUGCGAAGGCAGCAUGCCGGCUCCACACUGACGCUGAGGCACGAAAGCGUGGGUAUCGAACAGGAUUAGAUACCCUAGUAGUC